rnacentral:lncRNA from 1 species
UAGCCUCCGCGACCCUAAUCUUCCGAUCCCACCAGUUCCGCUUCAAUUACUAGAGCCAUUACUACAGCAUAAUAAUCAACAUGAUCAGCGUAGUCUUCGAAAUGGUAGUGUAGAUAGACAAAACGAUGAGGAUAACAAGAAGGACAAAGAAGCAGACGAGAGAGAAGUUCGAAUCUUAGGUAUCUGCUUGAAACGGAGGAGAGAUGACGAAUCAUCGUCGAAUAGCUCGAAAAAGGCAGCAGCUUGUGGUGAAUUGGAGCUUGAAGAGAGGAGAAAUUCGGUUAAAUCAUGGGGAAACCAGUCAAUUUCUACGGCGGAUCCUGAGAUAUCUGAGAUAAUGGAUAAGGAGAAAGAUAGACAAUUUAAAGGAAUUGAAUUGAUAGCAUCUGAGAAUUUUGUUUGUAGAGCAGUAAUGGAAGCAUUAGGAAGUCAUUUAACAAAUAAAUAUUCAGAAGGAGUACCCGGGUCGAGAUACUAUGGUGGGAAUCAAUACAUUGAUGAAAUAG